rnacentral:lncRNA from 1 species
CUGAAGCCAAGGGGGAUGGUGGGCACAGAUGUGUGGCAACCCUGCUCUGUGCUCUAAAACCAAAGUAUGUCCUGUCUUGUCUGUCUCUCACCCUGCCAAAAGGAAGUGUCUAAUCACUGACACUGACCAGCCUGUUAGAGAUACUUUCUACAACCAAAUUCAGAUUUAUUUUUUAUUAAGCAUUAUACCAUGGGCUGUUCUGUGCUACUGUAGCUCUUCAAAAUACCCACCCCUUCUAUUACUGCCUCCGGGGAUGAAGCAGUAGCUAGGUUGCUUCUGUCCCCUCUCCAGCAGAGGCAGAAUCCAGAUAAAUAGCACAUUUCAUAUUUCAUAAGCUCUUUUGGCCUGGGUACAGCAGAAAACUAGCAGUUUUCCUACUUAGCGCAAGUGACUUCUGCCUCCUUGUCAGUCCGUUGUCAGCACAGGUGCAGGCAAACCCUGAAGCUGGGUUGAUUGCCUUCUGUGGUUUACUCACUUAGGGGGAAGGGCUUAGGUAUAAAGCUGUGGGCUGCUGCUCCCUAACAAUCCAUUGUGCAGACUUCUCAUCUAAAAAGGUUGGUGGCUUUUGCUUGGGAUCAGUGCUCUGCUAAUGCCCUUGCUGGUCUCUCAACACAUUCCUGUCAUUGAGACUUGAAUUGUAGGCGUGAUGUUAGGGCAUAGGAUGCUCAGAGCUAUGUUACUACUAUUCUUAGUUUGUAAAUUGUCCUUUUGAUACCAUCUUGUUUUCUUUUGUAGGUAUAAAUAAACACUUGAC